rnacentral:rRNA from 1 species
AGAGUUUGAUCCUGGCUCAGGACGAACGCUGGCGGCGGGCCUAAUACAUGCAAGUCGAACGCACUCGACCUUCGGGUCACAUGAGUGAGUGGCGAACGGGUGAGUAACACGUGAGAAACCUGCCCUGAAGACCGGAAUAACCCGAGGAAACUCGAGCUAAUGCCGGAUAUCCCCAUCUGGUCGCAUGGCCUAAUGAGGAAAUGUUCAGGCGCUUCAGGAGGGUCUCACGGCCUAUCAGCUAGUUGGUGAGGUAACGGCUCACCAAGGCAUCGACGGGUAGCUGGUCUGAGAGGACGAUCAGCCACACUGGGACUGAGACACGGCCCAGACUCCUACGGGAGGCAGCAGUAGGGAAUCUUGCGCAAUGGGCGAAAGCCUGACGCAGCCACGCCGCGUGAGGGAUGAAGGCUCUCGGGUUGUAAACCUCUUUCAGCAGGGACGAAAAUGACGGUACCUGCAGAAGAAGCUCCGGCCAACUACGUGCCAGCAGCCGCGGUAACACGUAGGGAGCAAGCGUUGUCCGGAAUUAUUGGGCGUAAAGAGCUCGUAGGCGGUUUAGUAAGUCAGGUGUGAAAACUCGAGGCUCAACCUCGAGAGGCCACCUGAUACUGCUGUGACUGGAGUCCGGUAGAGGAGUGUGGAAUUCCUGGUGUAGCGGUGAAAUGCGCAGAUAUCAGGAGGAACACCAACAGCGAAGGCAGCACUCUGGGCCGGUACUGACGCUGAGGAGCGAAAGCGUGGGGAGCGAACAGGAUUAGAUACCCUGGUAGUCCACGCCGUAAACGGUGGGCACUAGAUGUGGGAUCCAGUCAACGG